GCUAAAAAAACACAGAAAACUAAAACUUACCGGCGGUAGGGCUCUCCGGUGCGGCGGCUCCUCUGGCUCGCAUUGCGAUUUGGUGUUUUGCUCCAGUCAACCUGUAGAUGAGGGAACGAUGGUCACAAUGGUGGAAAAAUUACAUCGAAUGGGAAUCGAGAAGGGCCUCAUCGGAGGCAAAAAUUUAGACAACUCACGGCGGCGUCACUGGGCUUCGGCAGCAUUUUCCAGCCAAUUGGCCUGUGUUUUUGCUCUAAUUUUGCCAUAGGUGGGUUUAGAAAUCGAAUUCUGAGCAAAGGGUAGAAAUUUUACCUCGUUUGGUGGCCAGAAAUUGCUCCAGUACGGCGACGGGUGGCGGCGGUCGGCUCCCCGAUGGCUGGGCUAUUCUUCUC
rnacentral:lncRNA from 1 species